CGCCUUGCCAGCCCGCUCAGAACUCAAAGGAAUUGACGGGGCCCGCACAAGCGGUGGAGUAUGUGGUUUAAUUCGAUGCAACGCGAAGAACCUUACCUGGUCUUGACAUCCCGGAGACCCUUAGGAAACGUAGGGGGUGCUUCCAUCUGGAAGAAUCUGGAGACAGGUGCUGCAUGGCUGUCGUCAGCUCGUGUCGUGAGAUGUUGGGUUAAGUCCCGCAACGAGCGCAACCCUUGCCUUUAGUUGCCAGCAGUUCGGCUGGGCACUCUAAAGGGACUGCCGGUGUUAAACCGGAGGAAGGUGGGGAUGACGUCAAGUCCUCAUGGCCUUUAUGACCAGGGCUACACACGUACUACAAUGGCCGAUACAAAGGGCAGCGACACUGCGAGGUGAAGCCAAUCCCGUAAAAUCGGUCUCAGUCCGGAUUGGAGUCUGCAACUCGACUCCAUGAAGUUGGAAUCGCUAGUAAUCGUGGAUCAGCAUGCCACGGUGAAUACGUUCCCGGGCCUU
rnacentral:rRNA from 1 species